rnacentral:snoRNA from 1 species
GUUGAUGGUGUGGACAAUCCCAAAGAAAAGCCUUGAAGCAUUCCCAAGCAUGAUAGAGGUUUUCAUCAGGCUUCUGUUUGAAGCUCACAAUCUCAGUGUGAAGCC